UACGUAGGGAGCAAGCGUUAUCCGGAAUGAUUGGGUGUAAAGGGUGAGUAGGCGGUUUACCAAGUCACAUGUUAAAGGCUGUAGCUUAACUAUGGUAUGGCAUGAGAAACUGGUGGACUAGAGUGCAGGAGAGGUAAGCGGAAUUCCUAGUGUAGCGGUGAAAUGCGUAGAUAUUAGGAAGAACACCAGUGGCGAAGGCGGCUUACUGGACUGUAACAGACGCUGAGGCACGAAAGCAUGGGGAG
rnacentral:rRNA from 1 species